UACAGAGGUCUCAAGCGUUGUUCGGAUUCAUUGGGCGUAAAGGGUGCGUAGGUGGCGCCAUAAGUCAGGUGUGAAAUCUCGGGGCUCAACCCCGAAACUGCAUUUGAUACUGUGGUGCUCGAGUACUGGAGAGGAGAUUGGAAUUUACGGUGUAGCAGUGAAAUGCGUAGAUAUCGUAAGGAAGACCAGUGGCGAAGGCGAAUCUCUGGACAGUUACUGACACUUGAGCACGAAGGCCAGGGGAGCAAACGGG
rnacentral:rRNA from 1 species